UACGGAAGGCAGCAGUGGGGAAUAUUGGACAAUGGGCGAAAGCCUGAUCCAGCCAUGCCGCGUGUGUGAAGAAGGUCUUCGGAUUGUAAAGCACUUUAAGUUGGGAGGAAGGGCAGUAAAUUAAUACUUUGCUGUUUUGACGUUACCGACAGAAUAAGCACCGGCUAACUCUGUGCCAGCAGCCGCGGUAAUACAGAGGGUGCAAGCGUUAAUCGGAAUUACUGGGCGUAAAGCGCGCGUAGGUGGUUCGUUAAGUUGGAUGUGAAAUCCCCGGGCUCAACCUGGGAACUGCAUUCAAAACUGACGAGCUAGAGUAUGGUAGAGGGUGGUGGAAUUUUCCUGUGUAGCGGUGAAAUGCGUAGAUAUAGGAAGGAACACCAGUGGCGAAGGCGACCACCUGGGACUGAUACUGACACUGAGGUGCGAAAGCGUGGGGAGCAAACAGGAUUAGAUACC
rnacentral:rRNA from 1 species